GGCAGUGUCGAAUCAAACUGAGUAACCAUACUGUACGUCAAAUGGAGAAAGCUGGAGAUUUUGUUACUCUAUCGUUGGUUUUGCUAUUUUUGUAUCCUCAAGUUAAUAUAAAUACUUCCAAUUAGUUCAUUUAAGUUAACUGCUUAUAAAUUUCAGGCAUUAUCAUCUGAAUGUUUCGAUAAAUCAAAGAAACCUGAGAUCGAUCAAUGCUGUGAUUUCCCAAGACCGAUUCCAACAAGUUUUAUGCCUGAAUGUGCCAAGAAGCAUCAAAACUUAAUGAGUGACCACCACAACCACAUAAUCUGUCUGACCAACUGCCAUUUCACUAGUUUAGGAUUUUUAAAAAAGGAUAAAAUCGACUUGAAAGCAUUCCGUAAC